GACGAACGCUGGCGGCGUGCUUAACACAUGCAAGUCGAACGGUGAAGCGCCUUCCUUUUUGGUGGGUGUGGAUGAGUGGCGAACGGGUGAGUAACACGUGAGUAACCUGCCCCCUUCUUCUGGAUAACCGCAUGAAAGUGUGGCUAAUACGGGAUAUUCUGGGUCUGUCGCAUGAUGGGUCUGGGAAAGAUAUUGUUUCGGUGGGGGAUGGGCUCGCGGCCUAUAAGCUUGUUGGUGGGGUGAUGGCCUACCAAGGCGGUGACGGGUAGCCGGCCUGGGGGGGGGGCCGGACACCCGGGGAGUGAGGCCGGGGCCACACUCCGACGGGGGGAGGCGGGGGGAAAUAUUGCAAAAGGGGGGAAAGCCUGAGGCAGGGCCGCCGCGGGGGGGAGGGAGGCCUUCGGUUUAGGACCCUCUUUCGGCAGGGAAGAAGGCCUGCCUCUUUUGUGGGGGGGUUGGCGGUGGUUGGAAAAGAAGCGCCGGCUAACUACGG
rnacentral:rRNA from 1 species